UACGUAGGGCGCAAGCGUUAUCCGGAAUUAUUGGGCGUAAAGCGCACGUAGGCGGAUUUGUAAGUCAGGGGUGAAAUCCCGGGGCUCAACCUCGGAACUGCCUUUGAUACUGCAAAUCUCGAGUCCGGAAGAGGUGAGUGGAAUUCCUAGUGUAGAGGUGAAAUUCGUAGAUAUUAGGAAGAACACCAGUGGCGAAGGCGGCUCACUGGUCCGGUACUGACGCUGAGGUGCGAAAGCGUGGGGAGCAAACAGG
rnacentral:rRNA from 1 species